CCAUCAAUGUGCAGGCUGUAGGGGAUCACAAUAUGAUGAUAAGGCAUCUAGUAGCAAGGUGGCCUGGUUCUGCUCACGACGCAUUUGUCUUCAAUACAAGCGACCUGAACACUUAUCUGGGGGAGAGGAAUGUAAGUGGGUGGCUGCUUGGGGACUCUGGUUAUCCACUGAAGGCCUAUCUCAUGACCCCUGUGGUGGAUGAGCAGACUGACGCAGACAUGCGAUACAAUCGGGCCCAUAAAAAAUGUAGGGCGAGAAUAGAGCGGCUGUUUGGUGUUUGGAAAAGCAGAUGGAGGUGUCAUGAUGUGAGUGGAGGCUACCUACAAUACACGCCUGAGAAGGUGGUCCUAUUCAUUAAGGCCACAGCUGUACUGCACAACAUCUGUAGGCUGGCAAACGUACCAGAUCCUGAAGUAGACAUUAUUCAACAAGAGCACCCAGAAGAGGUGGAGGAGGCUCAUGCCAAUGGGCUGACUGUAAGGGCUCAGCUCAUAAGAGACUUUUUUACAAGGCCA